GCAACACAAAUCUCCUGGACCAACAACAGAUCUGUUUUUCAUUAUUCCAUUGAGCUGAAUCGCACCCAUUCAAAUUUCUCAUUGCAUAGACUGAAAAUAAAUCAUGAGUUUCCUACAAAGCUCAUUAUUCUUAGCGCUCAACCUGAAGAUGAAGGACUUUAUACAUGUAACAUAACAGACAGACGUGGCGUAAACAGCAUUACAUGGAAUUUGACUGUGUCUGAGAACCCCACAGAAUCCACUUCAUCAAAGUAUUUUCUAUACAUACUCCCACCUGCAAUUGGAUUCCUUCUGUGUUGCAUCACACUAGCUGUGUUUCUCUACAGGUGAGUAAAACCUUUUUAUCUUCAUAAUGAAUGUAUGAAUGUGAUUAUUUUUUGUUUGUCUGUAGAAGUGUUCUCAGUACUAUGUGCAUAUUAGUAUUGUACAGCACUUUGGUCUACCAGGUGUGUUUUUAAAAUGCUAUAUAAAUAAAUAAAUGAUGAUGAUGAUGAUGAUGUAAGACUGAUUGGAUUAUAAAACACUAUUUUCUAUUUCCUACAUUGAAAGUGUUUAAAGUUUGUUUUAAAUAAGUAAAGAGGGAAAUAGAAAUGUGAUAUUGUGGCUUAUACCAUUGCGUUCAUAGAUGUGAUGAUUAAUAUUGUCAUAUUUCUAUGAUGUUUUUAAAGCAAAUCAUUACAUUAGUGAUCACAGGCUCAGUGCCUCAUUGCACAAAGCUCAGAUCUUUUUCAUUGCUAAAUGCAAGUUUUUAUUUAAUAAGAUGAUGCAUUAUUAUCUAUCUUUGAAAACUUCAAGGAUGAAAGAGCUCAGACUUUUUUUUUCACUACUUCUAUAAGCACCGCAAACCUGCUCUGAAUUUAAAGUUGUGAAUCAGCCCGCUGUGCUUUCUUGCAGGGGGGCUAUUGUUAUAUACAACAAGGCAAAAAGUGACAAUGACAGAAGUAAAGAACUGGCUAAAAGUGGUUAGAGUCAAAGCUGUCAUUCACUGAGGCAACCCUUCGCCAACAUGUACAUUUACAUCCUACAACUACAAAAGAAUGCAAGCUGAACUCAUUCUGUACAGAUUCAUCAUACAUUUGGAAAAA